UAUAGUAUCCUAGGGGUCCACUCCAGUCCCUGGUUACCUCGAAUUUUCCAGUCCCUGGAUGUCUCACCAGUGAAGGUUGUGAAACAGCAAAAAUGGCAGCCUGCACCCUCCUCUGGGAGCUCCAUCCCAAGAAGGUAGAAGAGUUAUCAGGUGACACUGGCUUCAGUUUCCACAAUAACAUCUGGACUAUCAAUGCAAGAAGCAAUGCAUGAGGCUAGACCAGAUAGCCUGCUCUCAUGUGCUGACAUUGGCCACACCUUGGGAAAAAAAUGUUGGCACUUCUUAGGAAGGAGCCAUCCAUGUCUGAAGAGAAGAAAUGAUAAUUAACUUCAUCAUGUGGAAAGCUUUAGAAGGAAGUAUCUUGUCCUUCUGUCCAAACCCGCCUCCUCCUCACCACCCCCAAUAAAAAUAAAAGCCAAACAAAUAAAACAUUAGCAGUAGCUCUGAGUUUCUUCCUUUCACUUUUUCUCUCUCUUCAUGCCUUUUCUCCUCCAUUCCUUCCUUCUUUCAAAUCAUUUUUACUAGUUUAAGAGAAUAAUUCAAUCUAUAUUUAGAAAUCGGACUUAAAACUUCAAAAAUUAUACUGAAAUAGCUUCCCCUUAAAGGGUGAAACAGUCAUGAUAA